rnacentral:misc_RNA from 1 species
AAAAUGCGAUACUUGGUGUGAAUUGCAGAAUCCCGUGAACCAUCGAGUUUUUGAACGCAAGUUGCGCCCGAAGCCCUCGUGGCCAGGGCACGUCUGUCUGGGCGUCACGCACCGCGUCGCCCCCACCCCCCUCCGGGGGGUACGGGGCGGAGAUUGGCCCCCCGUGUGCCUCGUGGCGCGCGGCCGGCCCAAACAUAGACCCCGCGACCGCUGGACGGCGCGACGAUCGGUGGAGUAGACCCUACGCAUCCCGUCGCGCCCCGAGCGGCCCUCGGAGGCCAUGAUCGACCCUUAGUAAAACUACCGUUGCGACCCCAGAUCAGGCGGGACUACCCGCUGAGUUUAA